rnacentral:rRNA from 1 species
AGAGUUUGAUCCUGGCUCAGAUUGAACGCUGGCGGCAGGCCUAACACAUGCAAGUCGAGCGAGAAAGCACUUCGGUGUGAGUACAGCGGCGGACGGGUGAGUAACGCGUAGGAAUCUACCCAGUAGUGGGGGACAACAGUCGGAAACAGCUGCUAAUACCGCAUACGCCCUAUGGGGGAAAGCAGGGGAUCCUCGGACCUUGCGCUAUUGGAUGAGCCUGCGUCGGAUUAGCUAGUUGGUGGGGUAAAGGCCUACCAAGGCGACGAUCCGUAGCUGGUCUGAGAGGAUGAUCAGCCACACUGGGACUGAGACACGGCCCAGACUCCUACGGGAGGCAGCAGUGGGGAAUAUUGCACAAUGGGCGCAAGCCUGAUGCAGCCAUGCCGCGUGUGUGAAGAAGGCCCUAGGGUUGUAAAGCACUUUCAAUAGUGAGGAAAAGCUGAUGCUUAAUACGUAUCAGCCGUGACGUUAACUAUAGAAGAAGCACCGGCUAACUCCGUGCCAGCAGCCGCGGUAAUACGGAGGGUGCGAGCGUUAAUCGGAAUUACUGGGCGUAAAGCGCGCGUAGGCGGUUGUUUAAGUCAGCUGUGAAAGCCCCGGGCUUAACCUGGGAAUUGCAG